rnacentral:tRNA from 2 species
GCAUCCGUAGCUCAGCUGGAUAGAGUACUCGGCUACGAACCGAGCGGUCGAAGGUUCGAAUCCUCCCGGAUGCACCA